rnacentral:tRNA from 1 species
GCCUGGAUAGCUCAGCCGGUAGAGUAUCAGACUUUUAAUCUGAGGGUCCAGGGUUCAAGUCCCUGUUCAGGCG